rnacentral:lncRNA from 10 species
ACUAUAAGGACACAAGAACAGCUAAAACUCCAUGGACUAAUGAAAUAAUAAAGGAAAGAACCUGAAGUAUGAGCCUAACAUGAUCCUAGAUGGAACUAGAAGACCAUCAUUAAGGAAAUACAAGAGAAAAUGGAGAGAGUACAGAGAGACAAAGUAAACAAACAUGUAAAUUCAAGCCUGCCUGCUUAAGAACUUCUCAGGCACAAUACUUAUGUGUUUGCUGUCAAUCUAAGCAGAUUUUUGUUGCCUCACCUCUCAACUGGACAGAAUUACAGUGUGGAUGGGCCUCUUGUCUGGUUACCAGCAAAGAGAAAUCUCAUGAUUGUGUUUGUAGGUUGAAUUGGUAUUAUGUGGGUUGUGGCAGCUGCUACCUGACUGACGUCUUCAUCUCCUUCUUACCACCAAAGAGGGUUGAGAUGGCUCCAAGAAGGAAAAACAGAGAAGUUGUCAACAUCUUGGUGCAGAAAAGCAGGUGGAGCCAGUCUCCGCCGAAACCCUGGUAACUGAGCUCAGCUGACAAGUGCUGAGGAAAUUCAUAGUUGACAACUGCUCGGUACAGAUGAUGACUAAAGAAAUGGCUUUCCCAGCAAAGGGAGAAAGAUCCCGGCCAGUAUACGCUCAGUCUGUCACAGCGUCAGAUCUGGAAAUAGGACUACAAAGCACUGGCCCACUUAUAGUGAUGCUGUUGUCGGCGGUCCUUGGACAGCUACUGCUUCAAUUUCAAUUCGGCUACCUUUGGGCAAAGCAGCAACUUGCUCUCAGGCACAAAAAUCUCUGCUGUCUUUGGAACUUUGUCUGCAAACACCUCAAAGAAGACACAGCCCAAGUCGAUGAUGGCAUCAAAAAACACAGUGCGAUUGACCAUGACUGGUGCCGGUGGCUCUAG